GGUGGCUCAGUAGUAGAGCGCUUGGCUUGCAUACAUGAGGCCCUGAGUUCAAUUCCUCAGCACCA
rfam:Dipodomys ordii contig_42518, whole genome shotgun sequence.